UUUUUUUUUGCCAAAUUUAAGGGAAGGAAGUAUGUAUAAGAAUAAAAAUGUAAAAAAGAUUAAAAGGUAAUGUAUUUCUUUUUUUCUCUUCUUUUUUUCUCUGCACCAUACCUGUACCAUACCCUCACUACUCUGCAUGCUCUUGGUAUUUCUUGUUUCCUACCUUGUUUUCCAUCUCUUCCGCCCCUUUCUUCAUUACAAAGAUGCAUGCAGAAAAAAGGGAGGCGGCCAACCUGGCUAAAUGUCCCAUGUGUAUUGUCGAAGUAAAUGAAAGACCGGAGACGGCUCGGAGUGGAAAAGGUGGGGCAGGCCACCCCUUCAAAGGAGGAUUAAUAGCUGCUACGGGGCUCUACAACCGACCCU
rnacentral:lncRNA from 1 species